rnacentral:rRNA from 1 species
UACGGGGGGGGCAAGCGUUGUUCGGAAUUACUGGGCGUAAAGGGCUCGUAGGUGGCCAACUAAGUCAGACGUGAAAUCCCUCAGCUUAACUGGGGAACUGCGUCUGAUACUGGAUGGCUUGAGUUUGGGAGAGGGAUGCGGAAUUCCAGGUGUAGCGGUGAAAUGCGUAGAUAUCAGGAGGAACACCGGUGGCGAAGGCGGCCUGCUGGGCAGUAGCUGACACUGAGGCGCGACAGCGUGGGGAGCAAACAGG